rnacentral:lncRNA from 1 species
UUUUUUUUUUUUUUUUUUUUCUGAAAUGUUAUUUAAUCUUAAACUCUGGAGUACUAAAUUUAUUUUGUAUUGGAGCAAAAUCAUUGGGAUUACAAAUAAUCACAAACUAUGUUAUAGGAGAAAUGAUUAUGAUAGAAACUAAGCGUGCUAAGGCAAUUGUCUCCUAAAAGUGUGAUUACCAUUUUACUUAUUUCCUAAUAAAGCUCUCCCAAAUAAUCACAUGGUUUGUUAUAGGAAAUAUUAUAGUAACAAAAAUCAAGUCAAUUAAGGGAAUUUUCUACCUUUAGAAGUAAGAUUGCCAUUCACUUAUUUGCUUAUGGUCUCUAAUCUUUGACUAUUGACCAAGUAUUGUUCCAGUUUUGGAGCUAACUGUUGGCAGUUUCAUUUCGUAACCAUGUGAAUGUUAUCAGCUAGGAUAGUGUUAAAUUUAAAGCAAAAAGCUGCUAAAGCUUUAUAAGCUAGGAUAAUUUUAUCAUUUAUGAGGUUAUGUAAAUGAAUUUUACUUUUCAUUUUAAAACUUGUUUCUGCUUGUUAUUUCAUAAUAGGAAUUUCAUGGGAGACUUCUUUUGUUAAAUGAACUUCUCCCAGCAAAAUUGUUCUGAGGAUCACAUGGUCUUUUGUCAAUUACUGGGUUUUUAUAACUCAACUCCCCCAUUGCUGAAGAAAUAUAACGUGGGAAUGGAAGAAGUUUUUAGCCAUUGAAAUAAAUUUUUGAAUUUGGCAAGUGUUUCAGAUUUUAGUCUCACAGGAUACAGCAGUACUACACUGGAAAAUUCAUCAACAAGAAUUACAUAAUAUUUGAAUAAAGAAUUAGAGACAUUAAGAGAAGUCCCGACAUUGUCUGAAUAAAUGUGAACAAGACAAUGCCUGCACAGAAAAGGGAAGUUUAUAAUGCUGCCAAGUCAACAUGUAGACCAAUAUUAUAGAAUUAUUAAUUGAUGGUGGUAUUUGUUGAAACAGGAAACAUUUAUUCUAUGCUUGUUAUUAACUUGCCUGAUUAACUUUUUUAAGAACUGGUGUCUUUUUACCAUGAAUUUAAAAUCAAGCAUGCAUCUUGGCUUCAGAAAUAUUUCAUUGGUUUCAACUCCAUAAAAGAACCAGGUCUGUGGUUUGUUUUGUGGUAAGGAAUUAAGAAAUGUUAGGUUGCCAAUUGGAUAUUUUCUAUGUCUCUGUGUGAAGGCUGAUUUUAAGUUAUCUUGGUUAAGGUAGGAAAUGUCAUCAUCUGAUGUAAGAAAAUGAAGGAAAAAAAAUUCCCAUUGUGGAUGACCCAACUAGCUUGGGACUGAGAGUGAAUUCAGUUCAUAUUUGUAUAUAUGAAGAGGUAAAAUGUAUACUAGAGUGGGACUAGAGUCAUUGGACAUACUAAGAGAUUGUUUGACAUUGUUUUUGGAGCUGUUGUUUAAAAGCCCUUGCUUAUAUAUAUUUGUUAGUAAGUGUUAAAAAUUUAUAUGAAACAAAUUGGGAAUGUUUUAAUCAUAAGAAUUCUAAAUAAUGAAAUAACUUUGCACCAGUGGACCUAAAUAAAAAGGCAUCCAUUAUAAAUUUACGUAAUGAUUUAGGAAUUUAUUUGUAAAUUUUUUGACUGCUUUGAGGAGUGUAGGCAGAGAUCCUGCUAAUGUAUUUUGUUGAGUUUGCUUAUAUAAUUUGAUGAUUAUUUGCUUCACUACUUCUGUAUUAUUUUUACUUUUGCUUUCAUCUGAUUGGAUGUAAAGGAUUCUCAGACCUCAUUAUCUGCAUUAUUUCUUGCUACUCAGACCUCAUUAUCUGCAUUAUUUCUUGCUACUGUCUGCAAACUGGUUGAUAAACUUUUAGUUAAUCAUUAGUUGAAGCUAUCUAGAUUUGAUGCUUCCCUUUUAUCUCCCUCCUUUUCCAUAUUCCCAGAUUUUCAUGUAAAAAUUCUUGUGUAG